rnacentral:misc_RNA from 1 species
UGACAGCAAACCUUUCCAACUCUUGAAACUCUGCUCUUAUGUCUACAACUGAUGCUGUCUUGUCCAAUCUUUGGAAGUCAUUCUCCAGCUUCUUUGCUCUAUCAAUGAACUCUUCCACAACUGCCAAAAAUUGUCGGUUACCACUUCUUUCAGAGUUUUUUAGCUUUUGAGAAUUCACAUCACUAUUGUUUACAGGUGCAAGAAACCCAUUUCUCAUGCUGUAAGCAAGGCUACAUGCGUCUCCCAGUGACAACCUAGAAGAGAAGUAUGAUAUGAUAUCAUAGCUUGAAGCCGCAUCUACAGAUAAAAUGGAUGCUGGUGCAGGAUGAAACAAUUGCUGUAGAAGCUGUGUUGUCAAUAUAAGCCUUCUCUUUGAUCGAUGCAUUGGCUGCAAAUCAUCAAUCAUUUCAACCUCAUCUUCCACCUUCUCAGUCAGUCGGUUUAAGGCUUUUGCCCAGUCUUGUUCUGUGACACUGAUAUUCUGAAGCCUGUUGGAAUCUUGAGUCACCUCUUUAUGCCACGGUAGAAGCUCAGAUGAUGUGAUUUUUCGCUUCUUUGGUCUCAUAAUAGCCUCUUGAUUGGUGACUUCUGAAGGCAACAUAUAGGGGGAUGACAACUGCUGACUACUUGGCCAAACCCUGCCACCCUG